UACAGAGGGUGCGAGCGUUGUUCGGAAUUAUUGGGCGUAAAGCGCUUGUAGGCGGCACGUCAAGUCGCGUGUGAAAUCCCCAGGCUUAACCUGGGAAGUGCGCGCGAAACUGACGAGCUUGAGUGCCGGAGAGGGUCGCGGAAUUCCCGGUGUAGAGGUGAAAUUCGUAGAUAUUCGGAAGAACACCAGUGGCGAAGGCGGCUCACUGGACUGGUAUUGACGCUGAGGUGCGAAAGCGUGGGGAGCAAACAGG
rnacentral:rRNA from 1 species